AUUGAACGCUAGCGGCAUGCCUAACACAUGCAAGUCGAGCGGAGCGGCGAACGGGUGAGUAAUGCCUAGGAAUCUGCCUGGUAGUGGGGGAGAACGACCGGAAACGGACGCUAAUACCGCAUACUAUCGGAUGAGCCGAGGUCGGAUUAGCUAGUUGGUGGGGUAAAGGCCGACCAAGGCGACAAUACGUAACUGGUCUGAGAGGAUGAUCAGGCACACUGGAACUGAGACACGGUACAGACUCCUACGGGAGGCAGCAGUGGGGAAUAUUGGACAAUGGGGGAAAGCCUGAUCCAGCCAUUCCGCGUGUGUGAAGAAGGUCUUCGGGUUGUAAAGCACUUUUAGCGGGGAGGCGUUACCAACAGAAUAAGCACCGGCUAACUUCGUGCCAGCAGCCGCGGUAAUUC
rnacentral:rRNA from 1 species